rnacentral:tRNA from 1 species
ACUAUUUUGGCAGAAAAAUGUGAUGAUUUUAGAGUUCAUUAAUAUAUAAUUGUAUUAUAUAGAUAGUA